AUGCCCUAAUUCACUUUUAUUUUGCAAAAAUUGGGAGCUCUCUUCUCUCUUGAGCUGUUGCUCCCACUUCUCUCUAACUCGUGCGUCGGUCUCUUCUCUCUUGAGCCGUCGUUCGCUUCAUGUCGGCGCCCCUCGCACGCCGCCUCCUUUCUCACUCGUGCGUCGGUCUCGCCUCCUCCUCUCUCUGGUCUCCACCUCGCCGCUAGUCCAGCACGCAGCACCCGGCGGCGCCAGAACUCACAGCAGGCAGCAGUAAACCAACAUCGCAUUUGCGCCGCCAAGCCCGUGAUAGCACCGGCCCCCAUCUCCAUUACUCUGAAUCUCAACUAUUGUGCCGUCUUAUAGCCUCAGACGCACAGCUCCUUCGGCUACCUAGACGCAACAGAAGAAAGAUAUGAUGCGAAAGAUCCUUGAUUCAUCAAUCCAGCGGCUUCAUAGAGGAUUUGCGGCUAAAUCCACAGCGUCCCGUGAUCUCGAUGGGGAAAAGAUGCAAUUUACACGCACGCCCACGAUUGAUUUCAGCUGCAUACGCUGCGCAGAUGAUGCCGUUCGUUUGUUUCGCGAAAUGAUUGCAUUGUCGCCGCAGCCUUCCAUCCCUGCAUACAACAAGCUGUUGAGUAUUACGGUCAAAUUGGGGGAAUACCGAGUUGCCUUCUACAUGUUCGACAAAAUGCGCCAAUGGGGCUCCCAAUUAAAUUUGUGCUCGAUGGGUAUCGCAAUCAAUUGCUGCUGCGUUCUACAUCGCGUAGACUUAGGGUUUGCGAUUUUGGGCAGCUUGUUCAAGCUCGGUUGCGCACCGAAUCUCACGAUCUUCAGCACUCUUUUGAAAGGGCUGGUUUUAGUUGGCAAGAUUGGUGAGGCAGAAGCGUUGUUCAGAAAGAUUAUGGCUUUUAAACUGUGCAAUCCCAACGAUGUUAUGAUUCUAACCGUGAUGAACGGUCUGUGCAAGAACGGGCAAAGUCGAACUGCCCGUGAUCUUCUUCAGGUAAUGGAGAAAACUAGCCUUAAGCCUAAUGUCAAAGCUUAUAGUGCCGUGGUUGAUGGUUUGUGCAAGAAUUCAAACGUUGAUGAUGCUAUGUUGCUUGUUUCUGAAAUGAUUAAAAAGGGCGUUUCGCCCAACAUUAUUACGUAUAACUCGAUUAUUCAGGGCUUGUGCAACUUAGGUAGAUGGGAUGAGGUGAAAUACUUGUUAUCAGUUGAAAUGGUAGAUCGUAAAGUGCCUUUAGAUUUGAUCACUUUUAAUACAUUGGUCGAUGUGUUGUGCAAGAAGGGGAAGUUGGAUGAGGCUGAGGAUAUUUUGCAACUUAUGGUAAGAAUAAAUGUUGGUCCUGAUAUAUUCACAUACACUUCUCUGAUAUGUGGAUAUUGCUCGCGGGGGAGAGUGGAAAAGGCGAAAGAAGCAUUCAACUCCAUAGCUAAGAAGGGUUUUAGGCAUAACAUCAUGAGUUAUACCAAUAUGAUAAAUGGAUAUUGCAAGAUCAGGGAUGUGGAUGAAGCCCGGCUUCUCUUUGAUGAGAUUCCGAAGAUUGGGUUGAAGCAUAAAUCCGUUUCUUAUAACAUCAUGAUACAUGGGUAUUUCGGUGCAGAUAGAUUUGAUGAUGGGUGGAGGCUUUUCAACGAGAUGGAAGCUUCACAAGUACGUCCUGAUUUGCAUACUUAUAACAUCUUGAUGGAAGGUUUAUGUCGGAAUCUGCAAGUUACUGAUGCAAUCCAAAUUCUGAGAGUGAUGAAGGAGAAAGGUGUUGGUUGUGAUAUGGUGACUUAUAAUAUCCUCAUGAAUGGUCUGUGCAAGGCUGGAGAAUUUGAUGCUGCGCGGAAUCUUCUAGACCUAAUCCCAUCUGAGGGCUUGCAACUCAAUGUUCCAAUAUAUACCACUAUUAUUGGCUCUUUUUACCAAGAAGGGCGUGAUGAGGAGGGAAAGUCUCUGCUUCUCGAAAUGGAGAAGAAGGGUAUCCCGCCUAAUUAUGUGACCUACAACAGUAUCACCUCGAGUUUAAUGAAGAGAAACGAGCUUCGCAAGGCAAUGCCAUUCUUCGAGGAAAUGUGCAAGAGAGGAUUCUCGGCCUCCCGAGAAUUUGCAGAAGUGAUGAAAUCAUGCGACGAAUGCUUGUCUUUAUUUUAAGUGUUUUUUUUUUGUGCGUGUGUUGGCCAAGGCAAGUGGUCGACUGGUCGUGGGUUCGAGUCCAUCAUGGGUAAGAACCUAAAGAAGCCUCCAGAAACACGCAGAAAAGCACGCAGUGAGAGUGAAACGGGAUGGAGAGAUACCAGAGGGUGGUGAAGCCCAAACCGGAGCAACCCGUUAACGAAAAUGAAAUCCGAGUCACAGCUCAG